AAGCAUGCUCGGGUUCGCUUCACGCCCAAACUUCUUCUUCUUCCGUCAAACGCUCAACAUAACGGGAGCUAAUUUGCGAUAAAACCAUUUCGCAAACUGUCCAAUUUAGGGUUAGUGAUUUUGCAAGACCUUCUUUAAAUUUUCUCUUCUCUGCGUUGUUUUUUGAUCGAUUGCUUCCAUUUAAGGUUUUAGGUGGAAAUUUUUUUCCAGAGAUUACGAAUUUGAGCAUUUUGUGUGGCAGGUGUGUCUUCUGAUCUUUGUUUGCACGAAUCCAAGGCCAAGGAGAAUGGGGACCAAGCUAUGGCUCUUGGGGCAAAGUUCUCCUGGCUUUUGAAGAUAAUAGGGCUUCAAAAAUUGGGGUUAGGUUUGAUAAAUCAAUUCCAGAUGGCAAUGAUCUUGGUGGCCUUUGCGAAGAUGAUCGUGGGUUCUUUUGUUCUGCAAAUCAUUUACUACGAGUAGAUGGCUCUGGAGUGGAUGACCUUGGCAAAGUUGCAAUUAAUGAAAUGUUUAAGGAUAACUUGAGUAGACUGCAUGAUAGGAGCAAAGAAACCCACAGUCAUGAAGCAACUUAAUCGCCUUUUUCCAAACAAAGUGACUGUACAGUUGCCUCAGGACGAGGCUUUACUUUAUGACUGGAAGCAACGGUUAAAUCAUGACAUUGAAACUAUGAAAGCUCAGUCCAAUGUUGUCAACAUUCAAAGGUUUUAGGUGGAACAAAUUUUUUCAGAGAUUACAAAUUUGAGGUAAGGGAAUACGAAUGUUCUUUAUUUAUUUUUUAACGUUUUGAUUUGAAAUUACAAUGUUAUUUGCCUUUUGAAAUUACGAGUGUUAUUUGUUUUUGAUGUUCUGAAUAGAAAUUGGCUUGUUCAUGAUGUUUUUCAUGAUCAUUAAUUUGUUGAUUAUUAAAUCUAUGAUUGUUUUAAAAGAGGAAGAACCUCAACUGGAAAGUGCUGAUAUGUUCCAUUGCUUGAUUCUUCUCUACUUUUGAUUUGCUCUGUCACAAUAAAAUAGAUGCACUAGGGUAAAAUAAGGAUAUGAAGACAAUUAAAGAAGUUUAAGGA